rnacentral:lncRNA from 1 species
AGCUUGUUAGAAACACAAUCCAUAGCGCAGCGCGUCAACACGGAGAGAGUGUUAGCGCGGCGGCCGGCUUACGUAGAAGGUGGUGACGGUGCCGGCGGAGUUGUUGGGUACGAGCUUGAUCUGCAUGUCAGCGCGCGCGAAGAGGUAGGUGUCCCUGGAGCGGAACCCGGAGCCGGAGGUGUGGUCCAGCGACAGCGUCAGCGUCUGGCCGUCCGGCGACACGCUCCCGCGCCCGUCGCCCCACGUCACCUCCAGCCCGUCGUCCAUCCUCCCCGCCGCCGCCGCCGCCGUACAGAGCCCCAGGAGCAGCGCCACUGCCAGCGCGCG